CUUUGAUUUCCCAACUGAAGUACUGGACAUCGCCAACUGUGUAUAUAAAAACAAUAGUGCUGUUUUGACUGUGAAUUACCGUAAGCACAGGAUUAAAACCCGUUAUUCCUUUUAUUUACAUUGCUGAAACAGCUCAACGAUCAAGAAUGAUAUAUGUCGAAGUACAGCUACAGUAUACUGUUAUCACACGCCAAGACUCCUCGGUGCGUGCGGUACAACUUGAAU